rnacentral:tRNA from 1 species
GGACCGUUGGCCCAAUGGCAAGGCGUUUGACUUCGAAUCAAAAGAUUGCAGGUUCGACCCCUGCACGGUCCU